ACUCCGAAUUGUUAUCAGUAAGUAACAUUCAAUUCAUUCAUAUGUUGUUCUUCAUCAAUACUAUAGCGCAUUCUCGUGAUCUAUUUCGGAAGUAAUAAGUUCCAAGAUGUUCGCUUACGUUAUACGUUCAUCCUUCAUCGUCGCCAUCGCGGCUGCCAGUUGUGUGCCAAAUCCAUGCCAGAACGGCGGCACAUGCUUUUCUUUCCCGAACCACAGUGAGGAUUUUGGCUGCACAUGUACUACCGGAUGGGACGGACAAUUUUGCACGACCCCUUUCCGAUACGUCGGAUGUUUUAAAGACACGUCGGCCCGUAUCAUGCAUGUCAGGCUACCCUAUUCGAAUUCAAACUCGCCGCUAGAGUGCGCCGCUCGGUGUCAUGCCUACGCUUAUAGCGGCACGCAGGUCAGUAA